UCUCCGUAGGUGAACCUGCGGAAGGAUCAUUCACAAUAAGUGAAUUAUGGAACUUUUUUAAAUCUACAUCCACGUUGUCUGCAAUGUAUAGGUUGAUUUUUCUCACGAGAGGAUCAGCCCCAAACAUCAACUAUAUUACAACUCUUUGUUUGAAAAAUAUUAUGAAUAAAACAAUUCAAAAUACAACUUUCAACAACGGAUCUCUUGGCUCGC
rnacentral:misc_RNA from 1 species